rnacentral:rRNA from 1 species
UACAGAGGUCUCGAGCGUUAGGCGGAAUCACUGGGCUUAAAGCGUGUGUAGGCGGAUCGUUAAGUGCCUUGUGAAAUCCCACGGCUCAACCGUGGAACUGCUUGGCAUACUGGCGGUCUUGAGCAACCUAGGGGCGAGCGGAACAAAUGGUGGAGCGGUGAAAUGCGUAGAUAUCAUUUGGAACGCCAAUGGUGAAAACAGCUCGCUGGGGGUUUGCUGACGUUGAGACACGAAAGCCAGGGGAGCAAACGGG